rnacentral:rRNA from 1 species
AACGCGAAGAACCUUACCAAGGCUUGACAUACACCGGAUCGGCUCAGAGAUGGGUUUUCCUCCUUGUGGGGCUGGUGUACAGGUGGUGCAUGGUUGUCGUCAGCUCGUGUCGUGAGAUGUUGGGUUAAGUCCCGCAACGAGCGCAACCCUCGUUCUAUGUUGCCAGCGCGUUAUGGCGGGGACUCAUAGGAGACUGCCGGGGUCAACUCGGAGGAAGGUGGGGAUGACGUCAAAUCAUCAUGCCCCUUAUGUCUUGGGCUUCACGCAUGCUACAAUGGCCGGUACAAAGGGCUGCGAUACCGUAAGGUGGAGCGAAUCCCAAAAAGCCGGUCUCAGUUCGGAUUGAGGUCUGCAACUCGACCUCAUGAAGUCGGAGUCGCUAGUAAUCGCAGAUCAGCA